CACAAGCGGUGGAUGAUGUGGUUAAUUCGAUGCAACGCGAAAACCUUACCACCUUUGACAUGGCAGGAAGUAUCAGAGAUGGAUACGUGCCCGAAAGGGAACCUGCACACAGGUGCUGCAUGGCCGUCGUCAGCUCGUGUCGUGAGAUGUUGGGUUAAGUCCCGCAACGAGCGCAACCCUUGCCAUUAGUUGCUACGAAAGGGCACUCUAAUGGGACUGCCGGUGACAAACCGGAGGAAGGUGGGGAUGACGUCAAGUCCUCAUGGCCCUUAUAGGUGGGGCUACACACGUCAUACAAUGGCUGGUACAGAGGGCUGCGAACCCGCGAGGGGGAGCGAAUCCCAAAAAGCCGCUCUCAGUUCGGAUUGCAGGCUGCAACUCGCCUGCAUGAAGCCGGAAUCGCUAGUAAUCGCGGAUCAGCAUGCCGCGGUGAAUACGUUCCCGGGCCUU
rnacentral:rRNA from 1 species